CCCCUGCCCCCAGCACAGAGACACAGCCACCACCCACACUGAACUGAGCCACAGCAGCAGGGCCUGCUUACGGCUGCACAGUCAAACCUUCUCCUAGUUCUGACAGCACACUGCUGUCUCCCUCUAAACAUUACCUCCGCCACAACGUUACAUUCACCUUGAAAGUCAAACCCACAUCAGUCCUGCAGCACAGCCAGCGGUUUGAUUUGUGAUUUAAACCUCUGCUUCAAUAUUUGUUUUGUUUUUCACACUAAAUUAGGAGACGUUGAGUUUUUCUCUAAUCCUGCUGCCUCUUGACAUCGGAGGUUCACACAACUUGAUUUUCCUGUUGUUGUUUCUGUAUGUAUGAUAUGAUGUUUAUUUCAGUGUGUUUUAUCAGUAUUCACCAUCAAUAGACACCGAUGUCCUUAUAUACAACAGGAUACAAGGGAGAGAGAGAAGAGAGAGAGAGAGAGUAGAGAGUAGAGAGAAUUCACCAUCAAUAGACACCGAUGUCCUUAUAUACAACAGGAUACAAGGGAGAGAGAG
ensembl:lncRNA